rnacentral:rRNA from 1 species
UACAGAGGCCCCAAGCGUUUCUGAGAAUCACUGGGUUUAAAGGGUGCGUAGGUGGUCCGUUAAGUUCGUUGUGAAAUCCCUGGGCUCAACCCAGGAAAUGCUUCGAAUACUGGCGGACUUGAGGCUAGUAGAGGUCACUGGAACUGACGGUGGAGCGGUGAAAUGCGUAGAUAUCGUCAGGAACGCCGAUGGUGAAGACAGGUGACUGGGCUAGUUCUGACACUGAGGCACGAAAGCGUGGGGAGCGAACGGG